ensembl:lncRNA
GCGCCGGGCGAUUGGCGGCGGGAGCGCAUCUCCCCGCCCCGCAGCCAAUGAGGGCGGCGGGCCGGGGGUGAUGGGCUGCCUCUCGCGGGAGGGAUUCCUGGAGACGCUGCAGUGUGGCGGCGCUCCCGGCGCCGCGCAGCCCCCGUGCCGCCUCCGCCGCCCCGCCUGCCUCGCCUUGCCCUGCCCGCCGGCGGCCGCCACCGCCGCCGAAACUUAACGCCCGGCGCGCCGCCAGCCCGCCGAGCGCAGGGGGCUGGGGCAGCCUGCCUGCCGUGCCGGGGGCGGUCCGCCCGCGCGCCGCAGCCUCGCCCCGGGAGCUGCCGCCGUGGGGAGAGGCUGAAGGACCGAGCCGGCUGCGCCCGCCCCGGUUGCCAGGGAGAAAAGGAAUAAUUUUCUGAACUGUGAAGAAGAAGACCCUCCAUUCAAGAUUCCCUGGUGAACCCUGCAUUGAUGCCAAUCAUAUAAGGUAUUUUAAACCAACAAGAUUCUGUUACCUUCUAUAACCUAUUAAAUGCUUUAAUCCAUGGCACUUUACAAGAAUUAAAAUGGAGAUAGUAAAGAAAUUAAAGAAAUCACUUUUUCUGAUGCACAUAUUGUUAGAUUAAUGAACAUGUAAUUUUGUGGUAAUACAUGAUAUUUCAUUCUGACAUUAAAGAUUAAAAAAUCCAGUUGAUUUGCAUUUCUUGUUGAGAUAGUAGUUGUAUUCUUUGCCUUCUUUCACCAUCAAUUUAUGUUUUAUCAAAUCCCUAGCUGUCAUGGUUCAUUAUCCAUAGAUGAUCUUGAGCAGCCUUGCAUCACAAAAAAAUAUGCUGUGGCAUCUGCCAUUGUGCACCACUAAACAGAUCGCUUCUGAGUAGGGUUUUUCUUUGAUUAGUACAUUCAGCAGUGUGUGUCCUUAUAUUUUUGCCUGUAUCUUAUGCAAUGUAGCUGCUUAGAGAAAGGUACUGUGAUUUUCCAGGUUGCAGAUAGAAUGUCUGCUGUGCCUUUUUAGCUGAUGAGUUCCAUUUGAGUUAAUGCUUGUACACCUCAAUCUCCACCAGGCAGUCCCAUUGCUUCUGUAGUCAUUUCAUAAAAUUCAGUAUCAGUGAUGUAGACAGAAUAGUGAAAUUAGGAGGUGUGAUUAUAGUAUUAGGCUUGUAUUCUAGACCUUUUUCUGAUUUUAGGAGCCAAAAAUUAAAUUCAUGUCAUAAUUGUAUUAACAGUGUAAUAACAUCCAGAUAUAAAUAUAUUUAAUAUAGAAGUCUUUAUUUCCUGCAGGGUACUUACAUUGGUAAAGAGACUCUUCCUUUUUAAAAGACAGGAGUUAGACUUAAUGAUCGUGAUGGGUCCCUUGCAAUUCAGCAUAUUCUAUGAUUCUAUCAAAAAUAUUUAAUCUUCUAAUUCCCCUGAAUCUGUUCCGGUUCCACCAAAACUUGAAAAUAAAUUUUGAUUGAAGUAGUAGUGUGUUCAUCGCAGUGAUGAAAUUAAUUUCCAUCUCUGUUCACUAUCUUGCAUAUCUCAGUUACAGGCAGUUUCUUCUGAGAAUAUGAAAUAUUAUCUUAUGAAUGUGUCUGGGAGUAAGUCACCAAUGUUAUAACUCAGACUAAUUUAAAUGAAAGCAAAUGUUUUGGGAUUUGAAAGUUGAACAUCCAUUUGAACAAUAGCUUCAAGGACCUGCAUGCACAUUUGACUGUCUUGUGCCCUGAAGAGUAUUGCUACUAAAGAGAUGAUCCACAUGGACCCGUGAGUUACAAUGAGGUUCUCAGGAAUGUGAAAUAGAAUAAAGUUGUCUGUAAGGUAAAUAUGAAGUGGGAAAGCAAAUGAAAGCAAAAGUGGAAUAUCAAUGAAUCUAGGAGAAUUUUUUAAAAAAUCUAUACUGGUAACCUAAGAUUGCAGCAAAACCUGAGGACCUGAUGCACAAAUCUGAACUAGAAAUGCUUCUUAAUUUGUCACCUGAGUCAGAGAAUUUGUUUGGUAGGUCCCCUAGCAUGCUGAUGUCUCUAUAAUAUAUUACAAAAUGGGUUAAAGGGGUUGCUGUAAUAAGCAGAGUUAGUAGGAAAUGCCUUCUGAGACUUUUUGAGUGUUAGGAAGUGAUUAGUAAAAUACAAAAAAAAUUGAAAUUUUUAAGUGUUACAAGGAGUCUUCCUACUUAAAAACACUGUUAUACUGGCAAAAAU